rnacentral:rRNA from 1 species
UAGAGUUUGAUCCUGGCUCAGAGCGAACGCUGGCGGCAGGCUUAACACAUGCAAGUCGAGCGGGCCCUUCGGGGUCAGCGGCAGACGGGUGAGUAACGCGUGGGAACGUGCCCUUCGGUUCGGAAUAACUCAGGGAAACUUGAGCUAAUACCGGAUACGUGCGAGAGCAGAAAGGUUUAUCUGCCGAAGGAUCGGCCCGCGUCUGAUUAGCUGGUUGGUGAGGUUAUGGCUCACCAAGGCGACGAUCAGUAGCUGGUCUGAGAGGAUGAUCAGCCACACCGGGACUGAGACACGGCCCAGACUCCUACGGGAGGCAGCAGAAGGG